rnacentral:misc_RNA from 1 species
UCUAAUGCCACAAGCGCAAUUUGGGGAUGUCAUAUUGUCAGUUCCAGAGGAGAGAUGGCAUGUCAUGGUUGCUUCCUUUUGGGGACGUGUGUUUAGUCUUUUAAAACCCAAGUUGAAUCAGUUAUGUCCGGAACUUGAAGAAAGCGGUUUGUUUCUACCUCCAGGCAGAUAUCCCAGUAUAUCUACUUCAUCAAUUCUCCUAGAUGGCAACAAUGUCUCAACCCAUAAUGGGAUGGUUCCAG